GAUGAGGCUGCGGGGAAAAAAAGGGGAAGUAAAGACUGGUUUCCUGCCUGUGAUGCUGCACUGAGGCAUGACCCAGGUCUCGGGGAGGAGAAUGCAAGAGGACGGGACAGGCAGCAUGCGUACCUGCCAUGCCCCAGGCACAAAGCACAAACCCAGGCUUGCAAACUGUGGGGCAACACCUGGUGCCUUGCUCCCCACGGUCCCCUCAAAAAGCCCCCAAAGAGGUAUGGGUGUGACUUUGCUUUGUCAUAGCGUGUUGCACUAUGUCUGCGAGUGCCAGCCUCCAUGGGAGACUUGGGAUAUGUCACAAUUUCCUCUGGACCCAGCGCAGUGGCACAAACCAACACAUGGCAGGUUCCCAACAUCCUGAGGGUGAAACUUCCCCCAAAUUUCUCAGCCUGCACAGCCUCAGCCCCAACGUUCCUGUACUUUCAUGCAUUGCACUAGAAAUGUGCAAUAUCCGUUUCACAUCUCUUGGACAAAAAGAACUUCCCUUUUUUUUUUCUCCCCUAAAAAAAUCCUCAGUUGAUCAAGUCCAACCUGAUCCCAAGCAGCCAUUUGUAUCCCCUGCAAGGAUUAUUAGAGUGGGACCCAGCCUUUGGUAGGUGCAGCAGCCCGUUAUCUGGAUCACUAGGACACUGUUAUUUAUAAUCUUCUUCCCACAGGCUUUCCGCCCCAACAACAUCGUGCUGUUUGGCUUGUAGGUUCGGCUGCAGCCUGGGCACCACAGCAAGAAACCCCUCACAUGCACGUUUCUGUGAAUGCAUGCUUGAGCCCCAGGGUUGCAGCCUGACCUCCCUGCAACCCUCUUUUCAUCGUUAAUGCCCUAGUCAUCCUCUUGCUCAUCUGUCAAAGGAUAGUUAUACCCAGGUCAACUGAAUAGCCCUGUGGGCUCCAAUGAGCUGGUGUGCAACCCAGUUCUGGCACCAUUUGGCGAGCCCAAGGGGAAUCUAGAACAUCUCCAGAGUUGUUAGACCUCUUUUCGUGGGAAGAGGGCCCUGGAUCUCCACACUGUCGGGAGCUCAGACUCUUGGCUAAUGAGGAGGUUAGGCUUUUAAACUGUGCUGUGGGAGAAGGCUCCAUAAUCCAGUCUCCUCUUUGCUUGUUUGAGUGGAAAGGGGUCUACGUGGCCCUGUACGCAGUCUAGACACUCCCGACCGCACAUACUCUUCCCAUUUUCUGCAGAGUCCCUGUCCCCUUGGUUUUAGUCCCUGCACUGGGGAGCUCUGCCUCCCCUGAGGGAAUGGAUUCACCCUGGUGUGAUCCGUCUUUCCGCAGUGGGUCUGUCCAGCCAUCUGCAGGCAGAUAUGGAGAUUACGUCCAACAAGAAGCAGCUUCUGGCCAAGGGCAGUUUGCAUGUACGGCUCUGAACUGGGGGCCAGACGCAGAGGGCACCGCGCCAGCUGGCAAAUUGACAGCGGGGCAUGUUUUUCCCCUCCUGUCUUUUCUCACAGAUUGCACCUAAGAAAAAGGCGGACAGGUCUUAUCUCAUUUCCAUUCCCUUUCCUUUCUCUCCUCCCCUCCCACACACUUUUGUAUUCUUCUCACUUUCGGUUUCCUUCUUGAAUAUAUGCUUAUGUUUCCUGCUCUGUAGUAUUUUGCCGGCUUUGUAGCCCAAAGAGUGAAACACAAUGUGGGGAGGGCUUAGGCCUGUUGUUGGGGAGGUAAAAAAACCUGGAUAUCUAAAUCUGAGUGUAUUCAAUUGUGUUUCCUGAGAGCAGGGUAUAAAAAAGAGAAGAGAAGACCCUGCUGAUUGCUGAAAAGGAAGAAAGAUAAACAUGACACUAAGAUGGGAAACAGAAGUUCUGAGGGGGAGAUUUCAAAAUUUCCCAGGGAGAUAUGUGUGUGUGUGGGGAGAUGGGGCUGAAGAUGGAGUGAGGUCCCGGGACUUUCCCACAGCUUUUGCAAGGCCUGUCACACCUUUCCAGGCUUUUUCAAUAGAAAACAGUCACAGUCCUUCUUCCCAGAGCACAGAAGACUUUGGAAAUUUUGGGAGUGUUUGGAAAUCAUUGCUGUUUUAAAGAAAAAUACGAACAAGAAUCACCCAGAAGCUUUUGGAGCUAGUUUUCCCAGGUGUUCUGGGUCAUAUCAUGCCCAACUGAAAUGCACCUAAAGCAGUUUGAGAGAGUGUUUCACACGGGCCAGAGCAGCCCUCUCAGGUCAAAUUCUGAAUUGCUAAGUGAUGACUUGUUUCCUCCUGCAACGGAAAUUAGAAAACCAGAAAACAGACCAAGAAAGACCAGAGCUUGCCUGCCUCCUGUAAAUAGUGCAAAGACGGGCUGGGGCUUGCAAGCGGGCUCAUGCAAUGCUCCUGCACUGCUGGAGGUGCAACACUGGUGGGCAGGGAUGCUGACACAAACCAGUUCCUGAGCUGUGGCUCCACUCACAGCUCUCCUCACCACCUCCUAGCCCCACAUCACAGCGCUCUUGUUUUUUUUCAUCACUAGCCUCAGAGCCUUUGUUCUCCUGUGACACUCAGUCGGUCUCAGUCUGACAGAGUGCAGCCCCAUCCUCAGACAUGACGCAGGAUCCCACAGCCUUUUGGGGGCUUUUGGGGGAGCUGUGAAGAAGAGAAAAGAAAGCGAUCUCAGGAGGUGAUAUAUUGUAAAGGAUAGAGAACUGACUGAUUUGCAAGCUUUAGCAUGCUUUUUUCUUCUUCAGCCAUGACCUUGUAAUCGUCUUUGGAUCAAUUUCUGAGAUUUACUGAGAAUUUUAACACUUCCAGGGACACCAGCCUUGAACAAUGAGCCUAGUGACACACUGGUCACUCCAUAUAGGGCCCUGGGCAGGUGCUAGCAGGUGAGGCUAGUUGCUGCUUCUCUGAAUACUCACCCAUCUGCUCUGCGAUGCAGGUGCCGGUGUGACCACACAGGACUUUGGCAGCUCCCCAGGACUGACCCCUUGGAGGAGUGAUCAUCCUGGAGGCAAGCUGUUUUGCAGCCCUGCAGUCACUGAUGCUAGCCCCUGACAUCCUCCAUCACUGCCUCUUCUCCAGAGUCACGUAUAAACCAAAACUUUUCUCUGUAAGGACAGGAUGGAGGUUCACAGCCUGAAUGUUGAACUGGGACAGGAAGUGGGUCCAGGUCCCAGGAGAAGCCUUCAGUCAGAGGGCCAGCUAUACCCCUUUGGGUCUGGAUCCUGCGCUCUGCCCUGGCUCUGCUCCUCCUGAUGUCUGCCCCCCUCAUCACCCUCGUCCUGGAGAGACGCACCCACUGGGCCACCAGAGCCAGCCCCACUGGGGCAGCCUAGAGACCUCGCUGCCCCCAUUGCCCUCUGAUGUUCUCACUGUCCCGGCUCCCAGCUGUCCGCAGGCCCUUUCCCCAUUUCCAAGCAUGACCCAUAUCAACCUCAGGCUCCUGCUGUGGCUGGGUUCAAGCCAGCAGCCUGGAGGGAUGCCCCAGGGCCACGCUGCCAUUGCUGGGCUUUACUUCACUCACCCCUGCUCUGUCCUCACUUCCCUGAUGAAGGGUAAUUGACUCUCUCAUCCCACUAGGUGCAUAAAACCCCACAGUCAGGUGGCUGACCCUCCUGCUCGCAGAAAGCAGCCUCCUUGCUGCAUGGUCCACCCCUGCAGCUCUGGAGGACACAGGGCCUGGUUUCACAUGCUCCACACACAGUGAUGCUCUCCAGGUCCUGCAUCACUGCAGUGCUUCCCAUCACCCAAGGCUGGUGCUGGCAGCCAAGGGCAAGUCCCUGGGCACUGCUGGGGGGUUACGGUGUCCUGUGUGGAGGCACUUUCAUCUGCAGGGGGUCUGUGGAAGUGGAGCUAUAA